rnacentral:lncRNA from 1 species
AAAAAAAUCAAGUAUAUAGAUAUAUAAAGGUCUAAGGAACCUUUUUAUGGUUUCUAAAAGUUAGAAAUGAAUCUAUAAAAUAUCUUGAUUUUGAAAAAUUCUUUGCAAAGGAACAUGUUUCUAAAACAUUAUUUGACAAUGCAGAAAGUUAUUUGCUUUUACUUGAAGUGUUGAGAAUCUUGUUGUUGCAAGGUUCCUCCGGCUAAAUCUUCUGUAGCUAUUGAUGAAGGUGUUGCUAGCCAGUUCUUAGCUGCUGCAAUAAACACCUGACCGAUUCUCAUAAAUGGGCCUCUCUCAUGGCCUUUGACACUAUACCGAUAAGUCCUAGUCCCAAGCAAGAAAAGGAGCAGCCCCAGUAUCAUGCCAAUGCAUGGGAUUCCAAAUCCAAGACCCCAAUUCAAGUUGUCUUGAAUGUAGCUCAAGACUGACUGAGUUACUAUGGUAACAGAAAAUACACCAAAAAUCCACCAGUUGAAGAAUGAGCUUUUGGCUAUACACUCCACUGGAUUUCGUCCAUCAAAUUGGUCAGCUCCAAAAGCCUGGAUGCAAGGUUUGUGCCCACCUAGCCCAACUGCCACUAAAUAUAACGAGAAAAAGAAGAAUAUCAUUUGGAGCUGAGGAGGAGAACACGGAAUGGUUUUGUUGCUUUUUUGGCAGUCGGAAUGGCUGGGAACAGGAAGCACAGCAGAUAGAGUUAACAACCCUAAUCCCUGUAUUUGAUACCAACGCAUUCAAUGAUGACUAUCAUUCAAGUAUAGAGUAUGCUAAUUAAAACACUCUCAACCAUGUCAGAUAAAUUACAAUAGAUUGGUGCCUUUAAGCAUGAUAAUAUUGUUAGUUUGAAAGCUUUAAAAACCAGGUUGAAUUUAAGACAUUUUAAGAUGAUUUUCUUCCUAACAUCAUCGAUUUCUGUCUAUCCAUUGUAAGGGUAUAAAUCUUUCAAUGAUGGGAGAGUAUAGAAUCAAAUGCAGGUGAUUAAUGUAAUGCUCCACUCUCAUUUAAUAGGUCCUCACGGCCUUAAAAGGCUUUUAUAAGAUAUCACAAUCACCCUUUAUGUAGAUAUGAUGCCCUCAUCACAUCGUACAUGAUUGUGAGGUGAAAUAGAUAGAUGACCUUUGGGAAGCCAAAUUAACUUUCAUACUAUUCGAGGAUUGACUCUGAUAUUAUUCGUAGUGAUCCACUCCCAACCAUGUAGAUAUUGUUCACUCUAUUGUAAUAUUCACAUCAAAUUGAGAGAAAAAAUUCUAGUGCUAUAUAUGAAUGAAUUACUUUUAAUAUUUUAGAUGUGUUUUAAAACCGUGAGAGUUUAUCGAGUUAGUGGACAAUAUUUAUACCAUUGAGAGUAGUUACAAAAAAUUUUAAUUUUUCUUUGUUACCAGAACUAAGUUAGACCGAGGAACUGGUUGCAAACAAAUCUAGUAAUUCUUAUGGUUCUAACACUAGAACAUAUCGACUAAUCAAUUUUCCUGCCUUCACAUGAGUGCUAAUGUCACGCCCCAAGACCCACUCCAAGGGCGUGACGGUCAUUUCACACCUCAAACCCGAAGGCUUAAAGUAUAAUCUGACCCAAACAAUCAUAUUGUAACUGGAUGUUACCAAUUACCAAAUACCUGUUCAGAGUAGCGGAACAAAAUCUAAAAUCCUCAAAAUUCAAUUUCCAAAUAACUUCCAAAUAUCAAAUGAUCCAAAUGAACAUAACUAAUAGUUAAACAAAAUCCAACAUAAAAUCCUAAGUCAAAUCCUAAUGAUGACCAUUCCUCAGCCUAGCCAUCACUCCUCACCCGAACUAAGAGUACCUGAAAAAUUUUCAACAAUUGGGAAUGAGCUCACAGCCCAAUAAGGAAUAUUAAUGCAAUUCAUGGAUCAAAUAUUUUCAUUUCAAAUAGGAGAUAUCAGUUUUAUUUUUUUUUUUCUCAUCAAAUAUCAGAGUUCCAAAAAUACCAAUAUAUUCAAAAUUCAACCAACCAAUUUCAUAUNNNNNNNNNNNNNNNNNNNNNNNNNNNNNNNNNNNNNNNNNNNNNNNNNNNNNNNNNNNNNNNNNNNNNNNNNNNNNNNNNNNNNNNNNNNNNNNNNNNNGAGUGAUGUUUUUGUUCAAGUAUUCAAACUUACACAACAUAAUAUCUCCAUAUUUUAUGUCAUAAAUAAAACAAAAUAUUCCAACAUAAUAUUUAGUGCAAAACAAUUUGAUCCAUGCAUGGUAACAAAAUAUCAUUUUAUUUCCCACAAUUCAAAAUAUCAUAUAAAAUAAUUUAAUUUUAUAAAUAUUACAUUAACUUCCCUUACCUCAAAAGAAAUCCUUGAAAGCUUGGGAGAAGAAUAAUUCUGAAAAAAAAAUAUAAUCUACUCUUCACCUAAUAUAACAUAAGAAAAACAAUUAUUACUAUUUAUUUAUAAUUUAACUAAUCUAUUCCUUAUUUAAAUAAAACUAAUAAAUUUCCAAUUUGUUUCUAAUAACAAAUUACUAAUUUAAUUAAAUUACAAUUUUAUUUCAUUAUAAAAUUCUAUAUAUAUAUAUAUUUUGCUAAAUCUCUCAUUCUAUUUAAAAAAAAAUACCAUUAUUACUAUUAUCUUAUUCAUUAAUCUAAAACUAAAUAUUAUUAUUUUAAAUUAACCAAUUCAAAAGCCACUAAACCAUUACCUAGUUGUCUCGGGUACACCAAACCACCAAACCAAAAAGCAAGUUUUUUUUUUUUUUUUUUCCAUUGUCAUCAUCAUAUUCAUUAUAUAUAUAUAUAUAUAUAUAUAUAUAUAUAUAUAUAUAUAUUAAAGGCUUCCAUUUGCUUCCGGUACACGUACGCCCCCAUUUUAUUUUUUAUUUAUUUUUUUAUUUUCUUCCUUCCUUCCUUCCAAUGCUGUACACGCGUUCUCUUUUUUUUUUUUUCUUUUUUUUUUUAUUUAACCCUAACCUAAAAUCGAAAUAUUCCAAGCAAUUUUUUUUUUUUUUUAAUAAAACUUAAGAUCUCCCAAAUUCCAAUACUAAAAUCAAAAUAUUAAAUUUUCACUAUUUGAUAUUAAAACGAAUUAAAAAAAAAAUAAUCUAACCCUAAUCUAGAUUUGGGGUUUUCCAAAAAAAAAAAUAUAUCUAAUGUGUUUGAAAUUAAUCAAUGAAUCUAAAAUAUUAAACUAGGGGUUAGAAUCUUACCUAUAGAGAUCUGUUCUUCAACCCUGAAAUCUGACUCCAAUCUUACGUUCUCUGGAAUUCUACGAACAGGAACUCUAUUCAGAAAAGAAAGGAAAGAAUAAAAUUUCUAAUUUAUACCUAAGGUAUUUAUUCGUAAAAUUACACUUUUACCCCUCUUCCACUUUAUUAAAUUAAUUAAUUAACUAAUUAAAUUAUUAAUAACAAUUUCCUAAAUUACCCUUAAAAGAAAAUGUCUGGGCGUUACAUCCUCCCCUCCUUAACAAAAGUUUAGUCCUCUAAACUUGACAUACCUGAGUCUUGGAAUAACUGAGGAUGUUUUUCUCUCAUCUCUUCUUCUAACUCCCAAGUAGCUUCACGAACACUAUGAUUGCUCCACUAGACCUUUACCAACUUGACAACAGCAUGUCGUAGUACCUUAUCCAUCACAUCCACAAUUUGAACGGGUACCUCUUUAUAGGUCAAGUCGUCAAAAAUUUGAAUAGGCUCCAACUCCACAACAUGAGAGAGAUCAUAAAUAUACUUCCUUAGAGUCGAAACAUGAAACACAUUAUGAACCUUAGAUAGGCUUGGGGGCAAGGCUACUUUAUAUGCCAAAGUGCCUACUCUUUCUAAUAUUUCAAACGAACCCACAAAACGAGGACUAAGUUUUCCUUUUCUUCCAAAUCUUAUCACAGACUUCAUAGGUGAAACUUUUAAGAACACAUGAUCACCCACCUCAAACUCCAAAUCUCGCCUACGAUGAUCAGCAUAACUCUUAUGUCUACUUUGAGCUGCUUUUAAUCUUUCUUUAAUCAAAGCAACUUUUUCAAAAGUCAACUGCACAAGUUCAGGCCUCAAAAGUUUCCUUUCUCCAACAUCAUUCCAACAGAUAGGAGAUCGACAUUUCCUACCAUACAAUGCCUCAAAAGGUGCCAUCCCAAUGCUAGCUUGAAAACUAUUGUUAUAGGCAAACUCUACUAAAGGUAAAUGAUCAUCCCAAUUACCUUGCAGGUCCAAAAUACAAGCUCUCAACAAGUCUUCUAAAACCUGAAUUACCCUUUCUAAUUGGCCAUCAGUUUGAGGAUGGAAAGCAGUACUAAAACUCAACUUAGUGCCCAAAGCUUUUUGUAGACUAUGCCAGAAUCUAGAAGUGAAACGAGGAUCUCUGUCAGACACUAUAGAAACUGGUACUCCAUGCAUUCUCACAAUCUCCUUCACAUAAAGAGAAGCUAAACGAUCUAAAGAAAAGUUGUCUUUCAUAGGCAAAAAGUGAGCAGACUUUGUCAACCGAUCAACAAUCACCCAAAUAGCAUUAUUAACCCCUAAGGUUCUUGCCAAUCCUAUCACAAAAUCCAUGGUAAUAUGUUUCCACUUCCACUCAGGAAUAGCAAGUGGCUGCAAAGACCCUGUUGGUCGCUGAUGCUCAGCUUUCACUUGUUGACACACUAAACACUAAGCCACAAAUUGUGCAAUAUCACGCUUCAUACCUGACCACCAAUAGUUUUGCCUCAAAUCCUUGUACAUCUUUGUCCCUCCUAGGUGGAUUGCAAACUUGGAACAAUGAGCUUCCUCUAAAAGCUUCCUCCUUAAGUCUUCAUCAUUUGGGACACAAAGUCUAGUCCCAAAUCUCAAGAUCUCAUCAUCUGACAAAACAAAAUCAGGCUUACUGCCCCUCUUAACUUCCUCCAUAACUUGCACUAAUUGGGAAUCAUUCUUUUGUAGGGUCUUAAUUCUCCUAACUAAGUCUGGUUGUACUCUGAAAUUUGCUACAAGUGCUCCUAAGCCCAUAACUCGAAAGUGGACUUGUAAACUCCUCAACUCUUCAAGUAACUGCCUUUGACAACCUCUAAUAGCUGCUAGAGAACCAACUGACUUCCUACUCAAGGAAUCAGCUACAACAUUCGUCUUCCCAGGAUGAUACUGAAUAAUACAAUCAUAGUCCUUAAGUAGUUCUAUCCACCUCCUCUGUCUCAUGUUCAAUUCCUUUUGGGAAAAUAAAUACUUCAAACUCUUAUGAUCUGUGAAUAUCUCACAAGUUUCACCAAACAGAAAAUGUCUCCAGAUCUUAAGUGCAAAAACCACAGCAGCUAACUCCAAAUCAUGAGUAGGGUAGUUCCUUUCAUAAGGCUUCAACUGUCUAGAAGCAUAAGCUACAACUCUCCCAUACUGCAUAAGAACACAACCUAAACCCUGAUGAGAGGCAUCACUAUACACCACAAAUCCUCCUGAACCUGAAGGGAUAGUCAAAAUAGGAGCUGACACUAAUCUAUUCUUCAACUCUUGGAAUCUACAUUCACAAUCAUCAGACCACUCAAACUUAACUCCCUUCUGUGUCAACUUAGUUAAAGGUAGGGCAAUCUUAGAGAACCCUUCUAUAAACCGCCUAUAGUAACCAGCAAGUCCUAAGAAACUUCGAAUCUCAGUCACAGUACUAGGUCUUCUCCAAUUAGCUACAACAUCUACCUUGCCAGGGUCAACUGAGAUGCCAUCAUUGCUUACCACAUGCCCAAGGAAAGAAAUUCGGUCUAACCAAAACUCACACUUCUUCAGUUUAGCAUACAACUGCUUAUCUCUGAGGGUCUGUAAUACAAUACUCAAAUGGCCCUCAUGCUCCUCUCUACUUCUUGAGUAUACCAAGAUGUCAUCUAUAAAAACCACCACAAACUGAUCUAAAUAGGAUUUGAAUACCCUAUUCAGCAAGUCCAUAAAAGCAGCAGGUGCAUUAGUCAAACCAAAAGGCAUAACAAGAAACUCAUAGUGCCCAUACCUAGUUCGAAAAGCAGUCUUGGGUACAUCUUCCCCUCUAACCCUCAACUGGUGAUAACCCGAUCGAAGAUCUAUCUUAGAGAACACACAAGCACCUUGUAGCUGAUCAAACAAAUCAUCAAUCCGAGGAAGGGGAUACUUGUUCCUCACUGUCACCUUAUUCAACUCCCUAUAGUCAAUGCAAAGUCUCAUUGAGCCAUCCUUCUUUUUCACAAAUAGAACAGGAGCUCCCCAAGGUGAAACACUAAGCCUGAUAAAACCCUUGUCUAAUAACUCCUGAAGCUGAACUUUCAACUCCUUAAGCUCCACAGGUGCCAUCUUGUAUGAGGCCUUAGACAUAGGACCUGUUCCUGGUACCAGAUCGAUAGUGAACUCCACCUCUCUCUCUGGUGGCAAGCCAGGCAAAUCCUCUGGAAAGACAUCAGGAUACUCCCUUACUAUGGGUAUGUCUUCCAACUUCAAAUCACUUUCAUUACUUACCACACUAGCCAAAAAUCCUUGGCAACCCUUCUUAAGCAAGCUACUAGCUGGCAAGGCUGAGAUCAUACGCAGUGGUCUGUCCACAUGCUUCCCUUCAAAGCUAAACUUAGGCUGACCAGGAAUACUAAACGUCACCCUUUUCUCAAAACAGUCAACAGAGGCAUGGUAGAAAGCUAACCAAUCCAUCCCCAAAAUCACAUCAAAAUCCUGAAGGUCAAGGAGUAUUAAAUCAACUGGCAUUUCCCUAUAACCAAUCAUCACAAUACAAUUUCUAAGCAUUCUACUAGCCACAACAGAAUCUCCCAUAGGAGUAGCAACAAUCAAAUCAAAGUCCAUGCUAGCAACAGGCAAACCCAACAAACCAGCAAAAGAUACUGAAACAAAAGAGUGUGUUGAUCCAGGAUCAAUCAAGACUCUAGCAAAUAAGGUGUGGAUUCGGAGAGUACCUGUCACCACAUCAGAAGUGGCCUAAGCAUCUCGAUGAGUCAUAGCAAACACCCGUCCUUGGGCUUUGGGUUUCUGUUUAUCCUCCUUAUUUUCCUCUUUAGGCUUCCUAGUGAUGAACUUCCUAUUCUCUGGACAGUCUCUGAUCAAAUGUCCUUGCUUCCCACAACCAAAGCAAGCUCCAAUCUCUCUAUAGCAUGGCCUACCCCCAUGCUUCUUACCACAAGUAGGACAAGCCUCAUCUAAAUUCUGCGCUGCCUUCCCUUUAUUCUGAUUUCUUCUUGAUGUAGACCUUCGCUGUGCUUGAUUACCAUGAGCACCAUCACUCCUAUUUCGCUUCCUUUGCUAUUCCCUAUAUUGAUGAAGCUCCUUAUUAUCUUUCUCUGUUAUAAGGGCUCUGUCAACAACCUCUGAAUAGACACCAAGCUUCAGAAUAGAUAUCUUGUUCUUCAAAUAAGGCUUCAAUCCAUCCUGAAACUUUAAUGCAUUUUCCUCCUCUGUAGCAAUCAAUUGUGAGGAAAAACGUGAUAACUCUGUAAAUUUGGCCUCAUACUGAGCCACAGUCAUAUCCCCUGUUCCAAACGAAUAAACUCUCCCACCUUCUGCCGCUUAACACUGUCAGGGAAAUACUUCUUGUAGAAAGCCUCCCUAAAUUGUUUCCAUGUUAUGGGUCCCUGAUCCUCCAAAAGUCUCCUAGUCAUACGCCACCAAUGAUCUGCCUCUUUAUCUAACAUAAAAGCUGCAUAAGAGGCUUUUUGCUCCUCAGAGCAAUCUAUGACACCAAAGAAUUUCUCCAUCUUAAGGAUCCAAGCCUCUGCCUCUGUGGGAUCUGUAACACCAGAAAAGUAAGGAGGACCCAAUUUCUUGAAGUCAUCAAAAGAGCUACCCCUAGAAAAUGAAGACUGUCCCUGAACAUUAGUCCCAACAGCUCGAGCUUGGUGUUCAACUAAACCAACUAGUGUCCCAAGAUACCUAUAGAUCCCUUCUACACUCACGGGAGGCAAACCCUCAACUGGAGGUACAUCAUCAUUAGCUUGACUAUUUUGUGAAAAAGCUGCUCUUCUUGGUGGCAUGAUGUCCUAAAAUAAUAAGGCAUAACUAAAUUAGUCAUUAAAGAACCAAUUAGAAAAUUUACAAAUAAAGAAAGAAUUGGAAUUUAUACUAAAUGAAACUAAAACUUAAACAAAUGCGUCACUCAUCUAUCCCCAAAGGUACACUAAACAAGUUCCCAUCAAGAUCACAACCUAGUGCUCUGAUACCACUCUGUCACGCCCCAAGACCCACUCCAAGGGCGUGACGGUCAUUUCACACCUCAAACCCGAAGGCUUAAAGUAUAAUCUGACCCAAACAAUCAUAUUGUAACUGGAUGUUACCAAUUACCAAAUACCUGUUCAGAGUAGCGGAACAAAAUCUAAAAUCCUCAAAAUUCAAUUUCCAAAUAACUUCCAAAUAUCAAAUGAUCCAAAUGAACAUAACUAAUAGUUAAACAAAAUCCAACAUAAAAUCCUAAGUCAAAUCCUAAUGAUGACCAUUCCUCAGCCUAGCCAUCACUCCUCACCCGAACUAAGAGUACCUGAAAAAUUUUCAACAAUUGGGAAUGAGCUCACAGCCCAAUAAGGAAUAUUAAUGCAAUUCAUGGAUCAAAUAUUUUCAUUUCAAAUAGGAGAUAUCAGUUUUAUUUUUUUUUUCUCAUCAAAUAUCAGAGUUCCAAAAAUACCAAUAUAUUCAAAAUUCAACCAACCAAUUUCAUAUCAAAUUCAAACACUUUCACAUCAGACUCAAUCAAAUCCAUUCAAUUUUUCAUUACUCUGGUUAUCAAAUAUCAAAUGCCCAGUUAGGUGGGACUUUUCAAAUGGGUGGCUAGUCUCAAAUUGUUCCUGGUGGACGGAACCAAACACUACUAGUACUAGUAACCUCUAACCAAACCCCUAGAGGCUGGGGUCCAAAUCAAUUACAUUCCCACCAUGAAAUGUAAAGGUCAACUAUUAUAUCCCGUUGACAGGGCCGAAUAGUCAACUAUUAUAUCCCGUUGACAAGGGCCAAAUAAACCAGAGUGAUGUUUUUGUUCAAGUAUUCAAACUUACACAACAUAAUAUCUCCAUAUUUUAUGUCAUAAAUAAAACAAAAUAUUCCAACAUAAUAUUUAGUGCAAAACAAUUUGAUCCAUGCAUGGUAACAAAAUAUCAUUUUAUUUCCCACAAUUCAAAAUAUCAUAUAAAAUAAUUUAAUUUUAUAAAUAUUACAUUAACUUCCCUUACCUCAAAAGAAAUCCUUGAAAGCUUGGGAGAAGAAUAAUUCUGAAAAAAAAAUAUAAUCUACUCUUCACCUAAUAUAACAUAAGAAAAACAAUUAUUACUAUUUAUUUAUAAUUUAACUAAUAUAUUCCUUAUUUAAAUAAAACUAAUAAAUUUCCAAUUUGUUUCUAAUAACAAAUUACUAAUUUAAUUAAAUUACAAUUUUAUUUCAUUAUAAAAUUCUCUAUAUAUAUAUAUUUUGCUAAAUCUCUCAUUCUAUUUAAAAAAAAAAUACCAUUAUUACUAUUAUCUUAUUCAUUAAUCUAAAACUAAAUAUUAUUAUUUUAAAUUAACCAAUUCAAAAGCCACUAAACCAUUACCUAGUUGUCUCGGGUACACCAAACCACCAAACCAAAAAGCAAGUUUUUUUUUUUUUUUUUCCAUUGCCAUCAUCAUAUUCAUUAUAUAUAUAUAUUAAAGGCUUCCAUUUGCUUCCGGUACACGUACGCCCCCAUUUUAUUUUUUUUUUAUUUUUUUAUUUUCUUCCUUCCUUCCUUCCAAUGCUGUACACGCGUUCUUUUUUUUUUUUUUUCUUUUUUUUUUAUUUAACCCUAACCUAAAAUCGAAAUAUUCCAAGCAAUUUUUUUUUUUUAAUAAAACUUAAGAUCUCCCAAAUUCCAAUACUAAAAUCAAAAUAUUAAAUUUUCACUAUUUGAUAUUAAAACGAAUUAAAAAAAAAUAAUCUAACCCUAAUCUAGAUUUGGGGUUUUCUAAAAAAAAAUAUAUAUCUAAUGUGUUUGAAAUUAAUCAAUGAAUCUAAAAUAUUAAACUAGGGGUUAGAAUCUUACCUAUAGAGAUCUGUUCUUCAACCCUGAAAUCUGACUCCAAUCUUACGUUCUCUGGAAUUCUACGAACAGGAAUUCUAUUCAGAAAAGAAAGGAAAGAAUAAAAUUUCUAAUUUAUACCUAAGGUAUUUAUUCGUAAAAUUACACUUUUACCCCUCUUCCACUUUAUUAAAUUAAUUAAUUAACUAAUUAAAUUAUUAAUAACAAUUUCCUAAAUUACCCUUAAAAGAAAAUGUCUGGGCGUUACAGCUAAUUUCAUGGAUUCCCAUGAAUCUUUUCAAGGUAGUAAGCAAAGGGUAGGGAUGAGCAAGACACCAUUGUACUCCAAUCAUAUCAAUUCAUUUCAGAAAGCCAACCAAAACCAGGAAAUCUAUAUUAUCACUGGAUCAUAUCAAUGACAAGGUUACCAUUAUGAAGGAGGAGGAAAACUAACCAGGAUGUAGAGAAGAGAAGCAAUAAUGAUGGUGGCAUAACGACCAAUAUAAGAAUCUGCAACAAAUGCCCCUACUAAUGGCAUUAAACUCCCCGUCCCUGUCCAUGUAUUCACACUCUCGGCAGCAGAGGGUACGGACUGCCCCAGUCGGUCCGUGAGGAAGUUUAUAAGAUUGGACUGUAUGCCAAAGUAUGCAAACCUCCCCGCAACUUCAGCACCUGCUUACAUAAAUAUGAAUCUGGAGUCUUUAUAAAGAAGCUAUUUGGAAUGUAAGCAUAUAAUUUUAUGGGUAGGAUUAGGGGUUAGUGGUUGGUACCCAUGAUGAAAUAUGCGGAUCUCCAACCGCCGGAGGUGGGUCUCUUGGCUGGACGGCCCUUGUGAUCGAUGGAGCCAUCGACGGUGUCUUCCAGCAGCGGAGAUCGGGGGCCUCCGGGAGUUCCAGCCAUGGCUUUGUUUCAGCCACAAAACACACCCGGAAGGGUAAUUUCUCAUUUUUCUUUUGCCUUUUUUUUCUGUACAGUGUUGCAAUCAAUUUGUGCUUGUCAUCCUUUUACUAUAGGAGCCAACUUGCUCUUCAGAAGUCUCUGCGUUCUCCAAUGUGAUGAAAUUUAAGCGUGUGUCCAAAAGCACCUUCCAAUGAUAUUUAGGCAGUGACAUGGAAAGAUAAAUACAAAAAGAAAAGAAAAAAAGAAAAGGAAGGAUGUAAGAACAAUUUUGAAAUUGAAUUAUAUUCAAAAUUUGCACAUAUUAAAAUUACAAAUUUACCCUCAAUUAUUUUAUGUAUUUAGGACAUGAUAUUUCUAUUCAUUAAAACUAACAUUAUCACACAAUAAAUGUACAUUAUAUAUAUUUAAGAAGUAUUAAAGGCACAUUGUUGAACUUUAAAUGUGAGGGAGAAAUAUGAAAAACAUACUAUAGAUUGAAAGGUAAAACAUAAUAAAUCCUAAUUUUUAAAUAAAAUUAUUAAUCCAUCAUUAAUUAGUUCAAAAAAUACUUUUGAAAAUAUUUUAUUUAUAAAUUAUUGCAAGACUCUACCCUAACAAACUUUAUGUGUAAAGGGUUAACGAUGAAGAGAUAGAAAACUUAAUAAUCUUGGAUAAUCAACUCAAAAUAAAAUAUGUAAAUGUAUUCUCUCUAAACUAAAAGGUCCUCUAAGAGUGGUGUUGACAUACCAAUUAUGAGUUUGUGUCUAAAAUUGAGAAGGGCCAUGUUGGUGAAGUGUGAGUGAUUUAUCUACAUAGAUGCUAUCUACUAUAUUGAUAUGGGCCUAAGAUCUUGAUUUAUCCUAUUUCCAUAUUGUUGUUGGUGAACAAUUCAAUGUUUCCCACUAACUAAUUUUUUUUGUUGUACUUUGUAUGUUCUUAUUGUACCAUAAAAAUGGACUAAGAUGGGUACCCAACAAUGACCUUGUGUUUUUGUUAGCUUUAACUCUCUCUCUCUCUCUCUCUAAGAUGAUAUUCUACACUCUCAACCCAUUAAGUAGAAUUUCAUUUUCAUGAGACAAGAAAAGGUGGAUUCCAAAGAUGCAAAAUUUCUAGAAAUAUUUUUAUUAUUACAUAAGUAAAUAUGAGUUGAUACUCUUGAAGAAUAAUUAACUAGUAAUAUAAUAAUUAAAUCUAAAACACACCUAAAGUAUGACUUAAUAUAAUAGCAAUGAACUUAAGACAUGCUUGAGGCAAUGUAGAUACAGCGACUUAAAAUGACAUAUUCCCUAAACAUGGAAAGGAUACAUGGAAAUGUACAUGCAUGCAAAUAUUCUCCCACAAGAUCAUACUCAUGCAAAAAAAAAAUUAGGAGAAAUUAUGUAAACAUGCACUAUUUACAAAAUAUGAAUGAAAAGAUAGCCUAAAAAAGUGUAAGUCCAUGAAAAGUGUAUUUUGGGAAAAAUGAUUCUCAUUUCAUGCACUAAAACAAUGUCUGAUCUUAUAGUACUCGAAAAAUACUUUUAUAUAUUAAUCUAACUCACAUAAGGAUGAUACAUCGUUCAACCAACAAAAGUACUUUAAGUCUAAAAUAGUGUUAUUUUAAAACUAAAACACAUGUAAGAGCAUUUUGGGAUAAUACGAUGUUGACAUUAUUUUAGUAUAUGAAAUGAAAAUCAUUUUUUUUUGGAUUCUCUUUAUAUAUAUAUAUAUUUUGUAAAUAUACAGUUCAUAUUUACAUAAUUCCACCCAAAAAUUAUAAGAAUGAGUGGUCAAUCUAAAAUUGACUAAACAAAUAGUUUUUGAAAAGACAAAAUUACAUAGAUAAUACCAAAUGAGGAAUAACUUGAACAAUAACGGCAAACGAGACAUAGGUACUUGAAAUUAUAUAGAUCUUUAAACACUUCUUUUGUCAAUAUUUUCCCUUGAACCUUAUCGUUCAUCUACUACACUUGUUACUGUUGAAUGAUUGCCACCAUAAAUGCAUCAAGAGCAGGUAAAGAAAACAAAAAGGAAAAAAAAAAAUCUCUUCUUAAAUCACCCUAGUGCAUGACACUUUAACUUUGAUUAAAAAUGCAUGUUUGGUAAGCUAUUUACCACAUGAAAAAUGAUUAGGACUUAGAUGCUCACCAAGUACUACAAUCGCGGUCCAUCCACUUGUAAACAUUAUAAGAAUUAAAUUUUGUUAACAAAAUGCUUGCUUCCUGGGUCAGGCCUAAGCAAGGACUUAAUUUUUCAGCCCAAUUUGAAGAACCCCUUGGGUCAAGCUAAGGGUGGCCUGAGGCAGCCCAAACCCAAGCUAAGAGAAUUGAGGCUCAGCCUGUGUGGUUGUCUAGUUAGCCCCAAAAACUAAAACUAACAAAUGCACCCACAAAGAAUUUUAAGCUGCCUCAAAUUAGAUCAAUCAUUUUAAUGAGGGUGUAUUUGGUAUGCGAGAAUACGACAAUAAAUAGAAUCAAAAUGAAGAUAAUCCGUGUAAGUAUCGUGUAAAAGUUAGGAAUUUAAAUCCCUAAUAAGAGUAAGAUUUUGAUUGUCAUAAUGAUGAAAUUCUUAUUUUUUAUUUAUAUUAUAAAAAAUCAUGCAUUCAUAUGGAACCAUCAAUACACAAUGCUCAAUAUCUCUUCUAUUUAUCUUUAUUUUUAAAAUGCUAAACCUAGUUAACUGUUGAACUGCAACACAUACACAAAUUUAUGGUAACAAUUUUUAUUGAGCAUGUUUACAACAAUUGAGGCAAUAACAUUCAUAAUGUACUUCCCCUAUUGUAUAUGUAAGACUUUGCAAAAUACCGGUAUAAACUCAAUCCUACCACACUCAGCCCUGCAAGAAACCAAUAAUAGUAAUCGAGAUGUGCCCGAUUGAGAUUAUCAUUGAAUCAGCUAUGUUGGCCAUCUCCACCGGUUGCCUUUUCAAUUGCAGAGAUAAGAAAGCUGCUCAGGAAGCUCCCUACACCUAAGAUACUGAGGUAGAGGGCGAUACCAACACUCCUUAAUUCGAUUGGGACUUGAUCAUAGAAAAACUCUUGAAGACCAACCAUGGUGAACACAUCAGAAACUCCAAACAAGAUGUAUUGGGGAAGCAACCACCAUACGCUCAUUGGAAGGGUCACGUUUGGCAUAUCAACCAGCCCAUGUUCUUGAGCGGUUUUGAGUCGUUUCAUCUCAACUAGCGCUGCAACUACCAUAGAUAUGGCGGACAGAAACAUGCCUGUUCCGAUCCUCUGAAGCAUUGUUAUGCCAGAUGGCUUCCUAGUUAAGGUUCUUGCAAUAGGAACCAAGAUGCGGUCAUAUAUGGGGACGAUGAGGACAAUGGAGAGGCUGAUAAAGGCUUGGAGUGAAGAAGCUGGUAUGUCAAUUCCCCAUCCAAUCGAUCUGUCCAUGGUGAUUCCUUGCUUGGUAAAGAAAGUAGAUGACUGUGCGAACACAAUAGCAUACACCAGACAAGUAGCCCAUAUGGGAAACAGCCUUAAAACUGCCUUUGCUUCUUCAACAUCAUCAAUGGUACACUGCCUUCCAUUUCCUUUGGAACCAUCUGGUGCAAGCAACGCCUUGUUCAAGCACCUUUCAAAAUAGAAAGUGACCCAAAUAUGAUAUGUUAAAUGAAUUCCAAUGAAGUAAAAGUUAGCGUAUAAGGAAAAAAACACUAUCAAAUUUCAAAACAUUAAGACCAAUCUCUGAGGAACAUUUUUACUACAGCCUUACUUGAAUUGUUGAGAAAGCUGGUGAUGUGGGGCUUCUCUAGCUAACUCUUCUGUAGCUACCAGUGAAGGCAUUGUUCUCCAAUUCUUAGCUGCUGCAAUAAACACCUUACCAAUUCUCACAAAUGGGCUUCUCUCAUCCUUUUUGACACUAUAUCGAUAAGUCCUAGUCCCAAGCAAGAAAAGGAGCAGUGCCGCUAUCAUGACAACGCAUGGAAUUCCAAAUCCAAGACCCCAAUUCAAGUUCUCUUGAAUGUAGGUCAAGACAGAGUAAGUUAUUACAGUACCAAAGCAAAGACCAAAAUACCACCAGUUGAAAAAUGAGCUUUUGGCUUUGCAUUCCUCUGGAUUUCGUCCAUCAAAUUGGUCGGCUCCAAAUGCCUGGGUGCAAGGCUUGUGCCCACCUUGCCCUACUGCCACUAAAUAUAAUGAGAAAAAGAAGAGGAUUAUUUGGAGCUGAGGAGGAGAACAUGAUGUGAUUUGGUUGCUUUCUUUGCAGUCAGAAGGGCUGGGAGAAGGAAGCACAGCAGACAGUGUUAACAACCCUAGUCCCUGCAUCAUGUCAAUCCAUUCAAAGAUAAUCAUCCUUCAAGCAUAGAAGAAGCUUCCAACGGCAUGCUAGAAUUAGUGCUUUAAAAACCAGACUGAAUUUUAUACAUUUUGAAAUGAUUUUCUUCCUAACAUUACUAAUUUCUAUCUAGUCCUCUAUAUGAGUAUGAAUUUUUCAACAAUGGGGAGAGUCUAGAAUCAGAUGCAGGUUAUUUCCCCGGUGACUCGUUGCCAGUGUUCAAGGGACCAGGAAAUGGUUGUAAUCUAGUAAUUCUUGUGGCUCUUAACACUAGAAAACUUUUUCCUGCCUUUAUAUAAGCACUGAUUUCAUGGACUCUAUGAGUGUUUUUCAAGCUAGUAUAUAUUUUCCAAAAAUAUUUCCUAAGGUCUUUAAAUUAAUUACCAAUACUAAAAUUGUCACAAUUCUCAUCCGUCUUUUAAGCCAUUAGAUUAUAUCUGUCGAAAUGCUAAGCAUAUCAAUAGUGAAGUUUAAUAUAGAAAAAAAGUUGUACAUUCUUUUAGUAAAAAGCGCAAUUAUUACAUGUUUUAGCCAUUAUCACACUUCAUUAUGAAUUGGAAAUUGUAACUUAUCACAUCUCAUCCAAAAGACUUUCAUCAUAAAAAUUAACGUUGAGCCUAAAACAUUGUCAAGACGAUCUUAGUUAAAGGAUAGAAAAAUGAAAGUAAAAAAGAAGCAUUUUCAUUAUUUUAAAAAGAUGAUCUUAGGUUUACAAUUUUUCUAAGAAUUACAAACCAAUUUAUUUUUUCACAAAAAUUUUCAAUGAAAUUCUAAAACCAAGAUGAAGUAGGAAAAUGUUGAGAGUGGUUAGAAAGGAAAGGAAACAAACAAAACAAAUUAAGGUGAAGUAGGAAAAUGUUGGAAGGGGUAAGAAAGGAAAGGAAAGAAUAAAUUAAACAAACAAAACCAAAGAAAAAAAAGAAAAAAAGAAAAAGAAGUGAUGAAACAAAACAAAGCAAAAUAAAAUAAAAGAAGAAGACAAAAAAUCUUUUUCCAAAUUCGAUAAGGGAAAGAGUUCCUAAUACUAUUUAUAUAUGAAUUUCUUUUAAUAAUGUGAAUGUACUCUAAAGACGUGAAAGUCCUUUGGAUUGAAAACAAAUAAUAUCUACAUAAUUGAAAGUGAUCUAUUAUAAAUGAUAUCAAUACAACAUCUGCAUAUGGGGAGGAGAGGGAGUGAGAUGAUUGUGAUAUUUUAUAUAGGGGAAAAAGUUAUGUAUGAACUUAUUUAAUCAUGUAGAUUUUUUUUAUAAUCGUGAAGAUCCUUUUAGUUUAAAAUGGACAAUAUCUACACGACUGAAACUGAAUUGUUACAAAAAUAGUAAAAAAAAUGAUAAUAUAUCUAUAAGUGCUUUAUAUACGAAUCAAGUCAAAUAGCCUCUCACAAACAUAAUAACAUAUACAUAAAUCACAUUCAGGACUAACAGAUUAUUAAAAUAAUAAACUGAUAAAUUUUGUUGUCUCUUUUAAAUUACUAGUAUAUAUUGAUGAAUGAUUACUAUUUUAAUUUAUUUACAUCUUAACUUAGAAGGUACAAUACCCAUAAAAUACAAGGAAGUAAUUGAUGGGAGACUUUUGUCCACAUUGAACUGAUACCCAGUGUAGUAGACUUCGAGGUUCAUUUUUUUUUGUCUCCCUUGGAUGGAUCACAACUCACAAGCCACAUGCUGCACGCUCAAUAUUUUAAAGCACGUGGCCAAUUUUUAAUCUUUCUAUAAUAUUCAUUUGAAAAGAAAAUAAUAAUUAAUUCACCCGAGAUAUAUUGUGAUUAACUUUCCAUUAACAUAAUCAUUAAAUAAUAGAGAAAUAAUCAUAUACCAUGAUUUUCCACCUAUUUUUGGAAUAAAUUACACUGAGAAAUCAUUAAUAAACAGUGAAGUAAAUUUGAGAUAAAAUGGAAGUCGGUCAAGAUGAAAAAAAGAUUGUUAGAAACUCACAAAUCUAAAGGAAAAACAGGCUGCAAUUAUGAGUGUAGAAGUGGGGUUUAUUAUUUGAUCACAUCAAGGAAAAACUCAUACGAGUUUCGAAGGAGCUGCAGGAAGCUAACCAGGAUGUAAAGAAGAGAAGCAAUAAUGAUGGUUCGGUAUCGGCCAAGAUAAGAAUCUGCAACGAAUGCUCCUACCAAUGGCAGUAGACUCCCCGUCCCUGUCCAUGUAUUCACAUUCUCGGCAGCACUGGCUAUGGACUGCCCUAAUCGACCCGUAAGAUAGUUUAUAAGAUUGGCCUGUAUGCCAUAGUAUGCAAACCUCUCUGCAACUUCAACACCUGCUUACAUAUGAAGCCGAGGUCUGUAUGAAGAAGCUUUGGGAAAUAAAUCAUUUUUAAUAAAUUUAUGGAUGGAAUUGGGGCUUACCUAUGAUGAAGUAUGCAGAUCUCCAACCGCCUGAGGUGGAUCUCCUGGCUGGACGGCCUUUGUGAUCCGUGUAGCCAUCGACGGUGUCUUCCAGCAGCGGAGAUUCGGGGCCUCCCGGAGUUCCAGCUAUGGUCAUGUUUGAGGGGGAAACACACCGGGGAAGGAUGUUUUCUGCUUUUGCUUUAGACUUUUCUUUGUGCUGUCAUAUGAUGUGUUUGUUAGGUACGGUUGUUAUCUUUUUCUUUAAGAGCUAUCUCGUGUCCACGACUUUUGGACAAGAGGAUUCAAUAAGUCUCUAUGCAAUUUUCCCUUUUAUAUGCUUCCACUGACAUGUGGUGUAAAUUUAUUCAAUGAAAUUGACCCAUGUGAUAGGUUGAGUGUGAAAUAGUUUAUUUAUUUAUUUUGAUGAUGGCAUCCACUGGAGCAUAAACCAUACUUCCGUAACCUAAAAGCCUCUUCAUGGAAACGAUGAACGAUAAAUGACUCCUAUUUAUACAGCUCAAUGCGACAAAGGAUGAGCUUUUGAAAGUCAGAUUUAAAGGUUGCGUGACAGGCACCAACCUAAUUAUGCCAUGAGAUAGUUUUAAUUUUAUAAAUUUAAAAUUAGUUCCUAUCUUGACUUUUAGACCAUUAUUAGGUUGUAUUUUCUUUUAUUGAAUAUUAGUUCCUAUCUUGGCUUUCAUACCAUUAUUAGGUUUUAUUUUUAAUUUGAAUUAAUUGAUUAAAAAAGAUAAAAAAAAAUCUCAUAUUUUUAAAUUUAACUUUCUUUAUUUCUUGUUUAUAGAAGUACCUUGUUUUUAUAUAAAAAUGCCACUUUAACAUAUUGAUUAUUUACAUGUAUUUUAAAAGAGGGUUAUUUUUAUAAGAAAAAUGUGAGGGUAUUUUAGUCUAAAACUGAUAUUUUUUAAGGUUAAAAAAAGUUAAGGAAUGAGGAUGAUUUCAUCACUUUUAUUCAAAUAACCCUUUUGAGUUUUGGGGUUUUCCUCCACCAAGUGGCAAAGGGCGAGACCGACACUCCUUAAUUCAGUUGGGACUUGAUCAUAGAAAAACUCUUGAAGACCGACCACGGUGAACACAUCAGUAAUUCCAAACAAGAUGUAUUGGGGAAGCAACCACCAUACUUUCAUUGGAAGAAUUGCAUUUGGCACAUCAACCAAGCCAUGUUCUUGCUGCAAUUACCAUGGAAAUAGCAGACAGAAACAUGCCUGUUCCGAUCCUCUGGAGCAUUGUUAUGCCAGAUGGCUUCCUAGUUAAGGUUCUUGCAAUGGGAACAAAGAUGCGGUCAUAGAUGGGAAUGGUGAGGACAAUGGAGAGGCCAAUAAAGGCUUGAAGUGAAGCAGCUGGUAUGUCAAACCCUGAUCCAAUUGACCUGUCCAUGGUGAAUCCUUGCUUUGUAAAGAAAGUAGAUGACUGAGCAUACACAAUAGCAUAGGCCAAACAAGUAGCCCCUAUGGGAAACAACCUUAAAACUGCCUUUGCUUCUUCAACAUCAUCAAUAGUACACUGCCUUCCAUUUCCUUUCGAACCAUCUUGUGCAAGCAAUGCCUUGUUCAGAAACCUUCCAAAAAAAUCAAGUAUAUGGAUAUAUAAAGGUCUAAGGAACCUUUUUAUGGUUUCUAAAAGUUAGAAAUGAAUCUAUAAAAGGUCUUGAUUUUGAAAAAUUCUGUACAAAGGAACAUGUUUCUAAAACAUUAUUUGACAAUGCAGAAAGGUGUUGCAAGGUUCCUCCAGCUAAAUCUUCUGUAGCCAUCGAUGAAGGUGUUGCUAGCCAGUUCUUAUCUGCUGCAAUAAACACCUGACCGAUUCUCAUAAAUGGGCCUCUCUCAUGGCCUUUGACACUGUACCGAUAAGUCCUAGUCCCAAGCAAGAAAAUGAGCAGCCCCAGUAUCGUGCCAAUUCAUGGGAUUCCAAAUCCAAGACCCCAAUUCAAGUUGUCUUGAAUGUAGCUCAAGACUG